GACGAACGCUGGCGGCGUGCUUAACACAUGCAAGUCGAACGGAAAGGCCCUGCUUUUGUGGGGUGCUCGAGUGGCGAACGGGUGAGUAACACGUGAGUAACCUGCCCUUGACUUUGGGAUAACUUCAGGGAACUGGGGCUAAUACCGGAUAGGAGCUCCUGCUGCAUGGUGGGGGUUGGAAAGUUUCGGCGGUUGGGGAUGGACUCGCGGCUUAUCAGCUUGUUGGUGGGGUAGUGGCUUACCAAGGCUUUGACGGGUAGCCGGCCUGAGCGGGUGACCGGCCACAUUGGGACUGAGAUACGGCCCAGACUCCUACGGGAGGCAGCAGUGGGGAAUAUUGCACAAUGGGCGGAAGCCUGAUGCAGCAACGCCGCGUGCGGGAUGACGGCCUUCGGGUUGUAAACCGCUUUCGCCUGUGACGAAGCGUGAGUGACGGUAAUGGGUAAAGAAGCACCGGCUAACUACGUG
rnacentral:rRNA from 1 species